rnacentral:ncRNA from 1 species
GUAGUAACAACGAACUGUGAGAAGUCAGCAGAGGCCAUAGUACCGGGAAACCGGGAAGGGC